rnacentral:misc_RNA from 1 species
UUGAAUGAACUUGGUGUGGUUGUUGCUGGCCCUUUUGGGGGCAUGUGCACACCCACCAUCCUCAUCUCUCCACCUGUGCACCUCUUGUAGACCUGGGAUAGAUUUUCCGAGGCAACUCGGUCUGGAGGAAUGCUGCCCUAAGCUUUCUUUGUAUUUCCUGGUCUAUGUUUUUCAUAUACCCGAUAGCAUGUAACAGAAUGUAUCAUUUGGGCGCUUGUGCCCUAUAAACCUUAUA